CCUACGGGUGGCAGCAGUCGAGAAUCAUUCACAAUGGGGGAAACCCUGAUGGUGCGACGCCGCGUGGGGGAAUGAAGGUCUUCGGAUUGUAAACCUCUGUCAUGUGGGAGCAAAUUAAAAAGAUAGUACCACAAGAGGAAGAGACGGCUAACUCUGUGCCAGCAGCCGCGGUAAUACAGAGGUCUCAAGCGUUGUUCGGAAUCACUGGGCGUAAAGUGUGCGUAGGCUGUUUCGUAAGUCGUGUGUGAAAGGGGCGGGCUCAACCCGCGGACGGCACAUGAUACUGCGAGACUAGAGUAAUGGAGGGGGAAGCGGAAUUCGCGGUGUAGCAGUGAAAUGCGUAGAUAUCGAGAGGAACACUCAUGGCGAAGGCGGGUUCCUGGACAUUAACUGACGCUGAGGCACGAAGGCCAGGGGAGCGAAAGGGAUUAGAUACCCCAGUAGUC
rnacentral:rRNA from 1 species